CUUAUUUGGCUCCUGUCUGCAGGGUUUACGCGCACGUUGGAAUCGAAGAGAGCUCUGUUGUUGCAAUGUUCAGCCCACAAGAGCUUACAGGUGAAGGAAUGGGACAAGACCCAUCUUUAUGCAAAGCCAGCGUUACAGUAAUGUUCCAGCAUCUCAUAAUCUAUCCUGAGGAAUUCAGCUGCCUCCCAGGGUGAAUACAGGUAUUUCUGAUGACAGUCUGCCUCUAUCUUACAGAGCAGCUUGUUGCUAUAUACCAUUGAAAAGCCUUCAGAGCUAAGAGGUACUACUAACCAAUAACCUGCUUGGCUCAAAGGGCCAGCACCUUCUCUCUAAAGCCCAAGAGGAGUUUGAGGAAAACUAGGUGUCUCUGUUCACUCCAGGCUGAAGUUACAGGUUUGAGGAAAGGUGUAUAAAAAAUGGAAUCUGUCUUGGAGGACAUCAGAAGAUACAAGGGCUUGGUUUUGUUACCAAGGCUGGUUUCAAGGCCCUAGCUUUAAGAGAUCCUCCCACCACAGAUUUCCAAAGUGCUGGGAUUGCAGGUAUGAUUAGUGGCACCCAGACUUUGCUGCCUUUCUUACAUGAUCA
rnacentral:lncRNA from 1 species